rnacentral:rRNA from 1 species
UACGAAGGGGGCUAGCGUUGCUCGGAAUCACUGGGCGUAAAGGGCGUGUAGGCGGUUUGUUAAGUCUGGCGUGAAAGCUCUCGGCUAAACCGGGAGAGGUCGUUGGAUACUGGCGAACUAGAGGAUGGUAGAGGCGUGUGGAAUUCCGGGUGUAGUGGUGAAAUGCGUAGAGAUCCGGAGGAACACCAGUGGCGAAGGCGACGCGCUGGGCCAUACCUGACGCUAAAGCGCGACAGCAUGGGGAGCAAACGGG